rnacentral:tRNA from 3 species
GGGCGGUUAGCUCAGUGGGAGAGCGCUUGCUUCACACGCAAGAGGUCGCAGGUUCGAGUCCUGCACCGCCCACCA